rnacentral:rRNA from 1 species
UACAGAGGGGGCCAGCGUUAUUCGGAAUUAUUGGGCGUAAAGGGCGCGUAGGCGGCCAUGCGUGUCUUCCGUGAAAUCCCUCGGCUCAACCGAGGACGUGCGGAAGAAACUGCAAGGCUCGAGUCCGGAAGAGGGGGGCGGAAUUCCCAGUGUAGCGGUGAAAUGCGUAGAUAUCGGGGAAGGAACACCAGUGGCGAAGGCGACUACCUGGCCUGUUCUUGACGCUGAGGCGCGAAAGCUAGGGGAGCAAACGGG